UCAGGUCAGUAAGCUCAUUGCUUAAAUCUGAGCUUCCUCGCAAAGGGGUAGUUAAGGCCCCAGAGAUAAACUCACCCCUGACUCGCCUCUGCACGCUUAGCCCUGGCCCAUAGUGACGGCUCAGAACCUGUAUUAUCACAGUUAUUAAGAAAAUGGGAAGUCAAAUUUAUUGAUAAACACACUUCCACGGCAGAUCCUAAUGGGGGCAACUGCCCCCACAGCGAACAAGAAAUCAACCAGAGAAUGCAUCUUUGUGUGUCUGCCAUGACUGCCAAGGGACACGGGUUUCCGGAGUGGAGUCUUCCCCAGGGUCAAGGGGCACCAGGCUCUGGGAGCGGCUCGGAUGGAGUCCAGGGCCGUGGGAACUUACCUGCCGGCGUCCGAGGGGCAGGGCGAACUCAGGAGCUGGCGGUGCCAGGGCCGGCCCAGGAGGGUCGGCUGAGUGGAGUCAGGGUCUUUGGACUGUUGGACCACUGGAUGAGGGGGGUGGGGCCGAACGGAGACCACGGGGCCUGGAUGCUGGACAGAGGAUGCCCAAGAUGGAUGCGGGUUGGAAUUCCAGGCGCAGAAGGCCAUCCGAGCCCGGGCGCAUGGGGAAAGCUUUCUGCCCCAGGAAACUCAUUUGGAGGCCCCUCCAGGUGAUGGGGUGAAUUGGGCCUAAAAGCAGGUUCUAAGCCCCUCUUUUUAACCCCCUGUUCCCCACUCCGGCCUGCAGACCAUUACCGAGAUGAAAGCCCAGAGAAUGCCUUUGGACCACGACUGCGGGAUCUAAUUGAAUUAUAUGAACGCAGUUAAACGCCUGCUUCAGAGAGGCAGGGCUUGCUUUCAAGACUGGAUGCUUCAGGAGUUAAUGGGCUAUUUGAACAAUAUAGGCCGAGAGCCGAACACAGGUGGGCUGUGUUAAUAACUUUAUUUAGACCCGCUUUUUUUUUUUCCCCUUUGAGGCGCACAAGCCUUCCAUUAAUGCAUUCAUUAGAGUUUAUGGCCAGGCUCUGGUUUUCUCCUAAUGACACUGUCCAGACCCGGCUCCCCGGCUAAUUGAGGCCAGCUGCCCGGCUGCCCCGCCCCGGCCUCAGGACCCAGUGUCACCAGGAUUAGCCACUGGGGCUGGAGCUGGACUCGGCCUGAGCCGGGCUGGGGAUGAUAGCCGUUCAGGAAGGGAAACCUGCUACUCUCCCCAGCCCACAACCACUGUAGCUGAGGGGGAGGAGGGGUCAAGGGAACCUGUGUGUCUGGACACCCUCCAGCCCCACCCACGCACAGCGAAGGAGCCCGGGUGGGUGGGCUCCCAUCUCCACGUCUCCUCACCAUGGCCUGUACCGCCUCCACUCCUGUCCACUCCUGGGCCUCCUCCCCACCGCAGUCACACUGACGAUCCCUGAGACCAACCUGAUGCCGUCGGGCCCUCUGAGCAACCUGUUGUGGCUCCCCACAGCCCUCCGAGGAAAGUUUAGAAGAUAUGUCUGCAUUCACAACCUUCUUAUUGCCUUAGGUCUCAUCUCUCAUCCCUCCUCCACUGUGUGGACCGUCAGCCAGGAAUGCCUCCCUCUGUCCCCCAUGGACCCCCCUCCAUCCUGAGUCCUCAACCCUGCUGGAGUCAAUUUAAAUGCAACCUCCUCCAG
ensembl:lncRNA